rnacentral:rRNA from 1 species
GGUGGAGCGAUUUGUCUGGUUAAUUCCGAUAACGAACGAGACUCUAGCCUGCUAAAUAGGCAGUGGAUUAUUCGUCCACUGUACUUCUUAGAGGGACAAGCAGCGUCUAGCUGCACGAGAUUGAGCAAUAACAGGUCUGUGAUGCCCUUAGAUGUUCGGGGCUGCACGCGCGCUACACUGAAGGAAUCAACAUGCUUCUCAACCUUGGCCGGAAGGUCUAGGUAACCCGUUGAAACUCCUUCGUGAUUGGGAUAGGGAAUUGCAAUUAUUUCCCUUGAACGAGGAAUUCCCAGUAAGUGCGGGUCAUCAGCUCGCGCUGAU